rnacentral:rRNA from 1 species
UAGGGAAUCUUGGGCAAUGGGACGAAAGUCUGACCGAGCAACGCCGCGUGAGUGAAGAAGGUUUUCGGAUCGUAAAACUCUGUUGGUAGAGAAGAACGUUGGUGAGAGUGGAAAGCUCAUCAAGUGACGGUAACUACCCAGAAAGGGACGGCUAACUACGUGCCAG